CCUACAUCACUCUCUCCUGCUGUUCUCUCUGUGUUGUCAUUUGUUGGAUCAUUCUGUUUUGUGGUUCUACUGGUGUUACUGGUUCUGCUGGUGAGACGAUGUGUUCACAGGAAACCUGAAGCUAUACAACAAGAAGCUGCAAAUGAUAAUUUCACAGACAUCACAUAUAGUGACAUCAAAUCAUCACAUCAUCAGCAAAGGGCAAUCAAACACCUCAGAGACAUUGAUACAGCUGUGGUGUACUCAACAGUGAGAACUGAAGAUGUCACUUAUGGACAAAUAGCCAUCAAACCAAAGAAGACCAGAGGAAACAAGCAUGAUACAGGAAACAGCAAAGGCAUCAUUUGAUACUGUGAACUGCACAGCAGAGCUUCAGUGCAGGAUGUGUCUGUUUGAGACUGAAACACUUUAUGUCCUUGGACACUCAGAACCCAACCAGCAGCAGGUGACAUGGUGCAAAUGUUCAUUUUAAUGAAGUGUUUAAUCUUGUAAUCUUCUUCUCAUUUUGUAAUGUAAUGUAAUGUUCUGUAAUGGCAUAGACUCAACCACAGGUCACCUUGCAAUAGCCACAUAUCAGGUGUGGUCAAACCUGUGUCAUGAGUGAGAAACAAGUUUCAAACUGAUUCAGAUUAGGCCCAUUUUGUCUUGGUACUCCCUUUUAUUAGCAAGAUGAAUUUCUAUUUAAUAUGAGGUCGAUUAAAAAAAAC
ensembl:lncRNA